rnacentral:rRNA from 1 species
UCAAUGGCCGAGAGGCUGAACCAGCCAAGUCGCGUGAAGGAAGAAGGAUCUAUGGUUUGUAAACUUCUUUUAUAGGGGAAUAAAGUGGAGGCACGUGUCCUUUUUUGUAUGUACCCUAUGAAUAAGCAUCGGCUAACUCCGUGCCAGCAGCCGCGGUAAUACGGAGGAUGCGAGCGUUAUCCGGAUUUAUUGGGUUUAAAGGGUGCGUAGGUGGUCUUUUAAGUCAGCGGUGAAAGUUUGUGGCUCAACCAUAAAAUUGCCAUUGAAACUGGGGGACUUGAGUAUGUUUGAGGUAGGCGGAAUGCGUGGUGUAGCGGUGAAAUGCAUAGAUAUCACGCAGAACUCCGAUUGCGAAGGCAGCUUACUAAACCAUAACUGACACUGAAGCACGAAAGCGUGGGUAUCAAACAGGAUUAGAUACCCUGGUAGUCCACGCAGUAAACGAUGAUUACUAGGAGUUUGCGAUAAAAUGUAAGCUCUACAGCGAAAGCGUUAAGUAAUCCACCUGGGGAGUACGCCGGCAACGGUGAAACUCAAAGGAAUUGACGGGGGCCCGCACAAGCGGAGGAACAUGUGGUUUAAUUCGAUGAUACGCGAGGAACCUUACCCGGGUUUGAACGCACAGCGACGAGUCAGGAAACUGAUUUUCUAGCAAUAGCGAUGUGCGAGGUGCUGCAUGGUUGUCGUCAGCUCGUGCCGUGAGGUGUCGGCUUAAGUGCCAUAACGAGCGCAACCCUUGCCGUUAGUUACUAACAAGUAGUGUUGAGGACUCUAGCGGGACUGCCAGCGUAAGCUGUGAGGAAGGCGGGGAUGACGUCAAAUCAGCACGGCCCUUACAUCCGGGGCGACACACGUGUUACAAUGGCGUGGACAAAGAGCAGCCACUUGGCGACAAGGCGCUAAUCUCCAAACCACGUCUCAGUUCGGAUCGGAGUCUGCAACCCGACUCCGUGAAGCUGGAUUCGCUAGUAAU